GACUAGUCCGCGUUAGGGAUUGAAGCAUUUGUUGGAGCUCUUUUUGUGUGGUUGCACCUAUGCAACACAAAAAAGCGACUGCGAAAAGCCCGACCCUUG
rnacentral:misc_RNA from 1 species